rfam:Candidatus Altiarchaeales archaeon WOR_SM1_SCG NODE_144_length_4952_cov_2522.73_ID_333, whole genome shotgun sequence.
UUGCGGGUGAAAGUCCCGUCAUGGUAAAACAGAAAGCCAUGUAGCAUAUACCCAAUGCUGAAAGCGAUUUUAGUAUUGAAGCGGUAUGUAAAAAC